AGCCUUUCGAAUCCGUGCUGAUAUUCGUCAGACACCAGCCCAUUAGGGCUGAUCAGACUUCCAAGAUAAGUGAAGUU
rnacentral:pre_miRNA from 1 species